UACGUAGGGGGCAAGCGUUUGUUCGGAAUUAUUGGGCGUAAAGAGCUCGUAGGCGGUCUGUCGCGUCGAAUGUGAAAACCCGGGGCUCAACCCCGGGCCUGCAUUCGAUACGGGCAGACUAGAGUUCGGUAGGGGAGUCUGGAAUUCCUGGUGUAGCGGUGAAAUGCGCAGAUAUCAGGAGGAACACCGGUGGCGAAGGCGGGACUCUGGGCCGAUACUGACGCUGAGGAGCGAAAGCGUGGGGGAGCAAACAGG
rnacentral:rRNA from 1 species